rnacentral:misc_RNA from 1 species
UAUAUGUUGGUCAAGAAGUGUUUGGCCGGUAAAUUCAAUUUUGCAAAUAUGACACCAUACAGGCUUCAUCUUAAUUUUCCUUUGGCCUCCUCCCCAAGACCCACUUCUCAGAGGUUGGAUAAAAAAGUUGGGAUUUAUAUUUGCAGGAGUCAAAUUCUCUGCACCAUUUAGGGACACUGCAGUUAUCUCACCAGUCCUGAAAGGGCCAUUUGAUCCCAAAAGUCGCACCACAUUCGGGUCCUGAUAAUACACUUGCGUUGCUUCCACAGAGCUAGUAGCACCAUUGAUCUGUCCAUACCGAUAGACCAUACUUUGUCCUUGGAAUUCGUGUCCUCCACCAUAACCAAGUGCAUAUGAACUAGGGUUAGGGUUUUGAGGCACAGAUUGAUCGGAA